rnacentral:rRNA from 1 species
AACGCGAAGAACCUUACCAGCUCUUGACAUCCAGAGAACUUUCCAGAGAUGGAUUGGUGCCUUCGGGAACUCUGAGACAGGUGCUGCAUGGCUGUCGUCAGCUCGUGUUGUGAAAUGUUGGGUUAAGUCCCGCAACGAGCGCAACCCUUAUCCUUUGUUGCCAGCGGUUCGGCCGGGAACUCAAAGGAGACUGCCAGUGAUAAACUGGAGGAAGGUGGGGAUGACGUCAAGUCAUCAUGGCCCUUAAGAGUAGGGCUACCCCCGUGCUACAAUGGCGCAUACAAAGAGAAGCGACCUCGCGAGAGCAAGCGGACCUCAUAAACUGCGUCGUAGUCCGGAUUGGAGUCUGCAACUCGACUCCAUGAAGUCGGAAUCGCUAGUAAUCGUAGAUCAGAAUGCUACGGUGAAUACGUUCCCGGGCCUUGUACACACCGCCCGUCACACCAUGGGAGUGGGUAGCAAAAGAAGUAGGUAGCUUAA